rnacentral:rRNA from 1 species
UACAAAUGCAAAUAAAGUGAAACCGCAAAAGGCUCAUUAUAUCAGUUAUGGUUCCUUAGAUCGUAUCCGCAAUUACUUGGAUAACUGUGGUAAUUCUAGAGCUAAUACAUGCAAUUAAAGAGGGUAUCACUGCAAAGUGGUCUCUCUGCUUUUAUUAGAUUUAAACCAAUGGGAAGUACUUGUACUUUCAUUUUGAAUGGUUGAACUCUGGAUAAUUUGUUGAUCGUAUGGUCUCGUACCGACGACGGAUCUUUCAAAUGUCUGCCCUAUCAACUAUUGAAGGUAGUGUCUUGGACUACCUUGGUUGCAACGGGUAACGGGGAAUCAGGGUUCGAUUCCGGAGAGGGAGCCUGAGAAACGGCUACCACAUCUAAGGAAGGCAGCAGGCGCGUAAAUUACCCACUCCCAGCACGGGGAGGUAGUGACGAAAAAUAACAAUACAAGACUCACAUCCGAGGCCUUGUAAUUGGAAUGAGUACACUUUAAAUUCUUUAACAAGGAUCAAUUGGAGGGCAAGUCUGGUGCCAGCAGCCGCGGUAAUUCCAGCUCCAAUAGCGUAUAUUAAAGUUGUUGCGGUUAAAACGUUCGUAGUUGAACUUGUGUUCCGCACGGGCUGUACCUAGGACUAGGUAACUAGUACGGUUAUUUGCCUUAUUAUCUCUAUUCACUCUGUGGAUCUGGGAGAGUGUGUGAACGUAUUAUCGGGGUGCGGACACUGCCUUCACGGGUAGCGGUUACACCGAAGUCCACUUCAGUGCUCUUAAUCGAGUGCUGGUUUGGACCGAUACUAAUUACUUUGAACAAAUUAGAGUGCUUAAAGCAGGCUUGUAAUGCCUGAAUAUUUUGUGCAUGGAAUAAUGAAAUAGGACAUCUGUUCUACUUUUAUUGGUUUUUUAGACCAAGAUGUAAUGAUUAAUGGAAGCAGUUGGGGGCAUUAGUAUUACAACGCGAGAGGUGAAAUUCUUAGACCGUUGUAAGACUGACUAAAGCGAAAGCAUUUGCCAAAGAUGUUUUCACUUAAUCAAGAACGAAAGUUAGAGGUUCGAAGGCGAUCAGAUACCGCCCUAGUUCUAACCAUAAACGAUGCCAGCUAGCAAUUGGAUGUAGCUACUACUAUGGCUCUUUCAGUCGCUUCUCGGGAAACCAAAGCUUUUGGGCUCCGGGGGAAGUAUGGUUGCAAAGCUGAAACUUAAAGGAAUUGACGNNNNNNNNNNNNNNNNNNNNNNNNNNNNNNNNNNNNNNNACUCAACACGGGAAAACUUACCAGGUCCGAACAUAAAUGAGUAAGACAGAUUGAUAGCUCUUUCUCGAAUCUAUGGGUGGUGGUGCAUGGCCGUUCUUAGUUCGUGGAGUGAUUUGUCUGGUUAAUUCCGAUAACGAACGAGACUCAAAUAUAUUAAAUAGAUGCAUUCAGGAUUAUGAUAUUGAAGCUUUACUUGCCCUGCUUACUUAAGGCAAAGUCUCUUCACGGGGACUUGUUUUCUGUAUGGUUUGUGGUAUUGUAGAGUCGAGUCAUACCUGCUUGUUUGUCUUAAUACACAAAAUAGACACUUAGCUUCUUAAAUGGACAAAUUGUGUCUAACAAUAAUGAGAUUGAGCAAUAACAGGUCUGGAAUGCCCUUAGAUGUCCUGGGCUGCACGCGCGCUACAAUGAAGGUAUCAACGUGUCUUUCCUAGGCCGAGAGGUCCGGGCAAACCGCUGAACCACCUUCUUGCUUGGGAUUGUGAACUGAAACUGUUCACAUGAACCUGGAAUUCCCAGUAAGUGCGAGUCAUUAACUCGCAUUGAUUAAGUCCCUGCCCCUUGUACACACCGCCCGUCGCUACUACCGAUUGAAUUGUUUAGUGAGGUCUCCGGACGUGAUCGCUGCGACGCCUUCCGGGUGUUACAGUUGCUUCACAGAAGUUGACCGAACUUGGUUAUUUAGAGGAAGUAAAAGUCGUAACAAGGUUUC